AACGAACGCUGGCGGCAUGCCUAACACAUGCAAGUCGAACGAAGCCUUCGGGCUUAGUGGCGCACGGGUGCGUAACGCGUGGGAAUCUGCCCCUUGCUUCGGAAUAACAGUUAGAAAUGACUGCUAAUACCGGAUGAAGUCUUCGGACCAAAGAUUUAUCGGCAAGGGAUGAGCCCGCGUAGGAUUAGGUAGUUGGUGGGGUAAAGGCCUACCAAGCCGACGAUCCUUAGCUGGUCUGAGAGGAUGAUCAGCCACACUGGGACUGAGACACGGCCCAGACUCCUACGGGAAGCAGCAGUGGGGAAUAUUGGACAAUGGACGCAAGUCUGAUCCAGCAAUGCCGCGUGAGUGAUGAAGGCCUUAGGGUUGUAAAGCUCUUUUACCAGGGAUGAUAAUGACAGUACCUGGAGAAUAAGCUCCGGCUAACUCCGUG
rnacentral:rRNA from 1 species